rnacentral:rRNA from 1 species
UACGUAGGUGGCAAGCGUUAUCCGGAUUUAUUGGGCGUAAAGGGAACGCAGGCGGUCUUUUAAGUCUGAUGUGAAAGCCUUCGGCUUAACCGGAGUAGUGCAUUGGAAACUGGGAGACUUGAGUGCAGAAGAGGAGAGUGGAACUCUAUGUGUAGCGGUGAAAUGCGUAGAUAUAUGGAAGAGCACCAGUGGCGAAAGCGGCUCUCUGGUCUGUAACUGACGCUGAGGUUCGAAAGCGUGGGUAGCAAACAGG